ensembl:lncRNA
GUCAGAUAGAUGUUCAGACAGGUCAGAUAGAUGUUCAGACAGGUCAGAUAGAUGGUCAGGCAGGUCAGACAGAUGGUCAGACAGGUCAGCUAGAUGGUGGACAGACAGGUCAGCUAGAUGGUGGUCAGACAGGUCAGCUAGAUGGUGGUCAGACAGGUCAGCUAGAUGGUCAGAUAGAUGGUCAGACAGGUCAGACAGACAGGUCAGAUAGAUGGUGGACAGACAGGUCAGACAGAUGGUGGACAGACAGGUGGUGGUCAGACAGGUCAGAUAGAUGGUAGACAGACAGGUCAGAUAGAUGGUAGACAGGUCAGAUAGAUGGUGGUCAGACAGGUCAGAUAGAUGGUAGACAGACAGGUCAGAUAGAUGGUGGUCAGACAGGUCAGAUAAAUGGUAGACAGACAUGUCAGAUAGAUGGUCAGAUAGAUGGUAGACAGACAGGUCAGAUAGAUGGUAGACAGACAGGUCAGAUAGAUGGUAGAUAGACAGGUCAGAUAGAUGGUAGACAGGUCAGAUAGAUGGUGGUCAGACAGGUCAGAUAGAUGGUGGUCAGACAGGUCAGAUAGAUGGUAG